UUUGGAGAAGAGAGAGCAUAGGAACAUGGAAAGAAAGAAGUUCAUCAUCUUCAUAUCUCCAUUUUCGCAACCCUUGAUACAGCUCCACUAAAUCAGCUUCUGUUUUGAAGGAGAAAAACGAGUUUGAAGUUGGGACAUGCAUGCUGAAUGUGAUGAAGAAUGGGCUACGGGUUUGAUGAGUUUGGAGUUGGAGUUUUGGUCAAGAUAGGAACUCAAUUGCAGCAUGUUCACCAUCUAAACCUCUAUUAAUCCAAGGUGCAGUUAGUAGCGUUUGGUCAGUAACAGGUUUGGACUGAAGACUUGGAAGUGGUGUUGGCUCGAAGACCUCGUUGGUUUUGACAUUCCGCUGUGCAAGAUCCAUUGAAGACUCAUGUAUUAUGCUUCUUAGUAGAAUUUCAUGUUGUAUUUUAUAUGGAUCUUUCUAUAACUAUAGCUUUUGUAUGUACUCAAUAUCAAUUUUAACGUUUCAUGCAUAAUAUACUAGUCAGUUAUGUAUGGGGUGUUACAGUUGGUAUCAGAGCAGGUCGAUUCUCGGCCGAGCCAUGAGACAUCACUAGCAAUUCCUUUUCCUCCUCUCAAGUGUGCGUUGCUAGCCUGAUUUUACUGAAAUCUCAUUCAGUUGUUGAACUUGAUCAACUCAUCGACUGAGUGUGAGACAGUAGAAUUACGGCAGAGCCGCCACGAGGACUCGUAAAACCUGCAAGGUUGUGAACCUAAGUUGUUGGAGUGGGAUGAGUAAUGAAUUGUUGGAUGUUUUAAGUGGAUGAUAUUGGAGUCAUCAAGAUUAAGGAGAGCGUUCGACACGAAGUAGUGAUACCCAAACUGUCAAGGUGUGGAUUGAGGCAGUGAAACCUUCUCUAAGUCUUGGUAAUAGCAAGGGAAAUCCAAAUAGGAUUGAGUAGGAGCCUUGUAAGGGAGAUUCUCCGAAGGUGUUGAGCUGUGAAUUAGUAGGAUUCAGUACUGAUGAUGCUGCCGAUGUUAAGUGUGACGGGUGAGCUGAUAGGACAAAUGGCCUCUGGAAAUGCGGACAGAAGAGUUAGACCUUCCUGAUUGUGCUGGUACGAACAGUAAUUGGAUGGAUGAAGUAUUAGAUCCUGAUCCAACUUGAAGUACCCUAAGCGAGAGUAGUUAUCUAGUAGAUGUUGGUGGAAUGUAUGAGUGUGGUAACUUAAGAUUGGCGAAGCUUGAAUACCUUGUCGGUGGGAGAGGGCAUGCAUUUCCGUUCUUAUCAUUUUAUAUUUAAGCUCCAGAACUACGCUAGAUGUAAUAUGAAAUGAUGUAGAAGCGUGAAAUGCAGUGACCUAAGUUCUUGUUAGUUGUUGUUCGUCUGACCCCGAGUGAAGCCAUAGAACUACGCUUGGCGUUGAGUGUUCAGGCGAGCAAGAACUAAAAUCUAUCUGGAACGUCAGUA